rnacentral:tRNA from 1 species
GCUCGCUUAGCUCAGUUGGUUAGAGCGUCGUACUAAUAUUCCUACAAUAUGGUAUGCGAAGGUCGCCAGUUCGACCCUGGUAGUGAGCA